rnacentral:miRNA from 1 species
CCAACAGCGGAGUGUAUAUCUCAC